rnacentral:rRNA from 1 species
CCCCCUGGUUUAUCAAAAACAUGUCUUUUUUUAAUUAUAAAAAGUCUAACCUGCCCACUGAUAUUUAGUUAUUUAAAUGGCCGCAGUAUACUAACUGUGCAAAGGUAGCAUAAUCAUUAGUCUUUUAAUUGAAGGCUGGAAUGAAUGGUUGAACGAAUAUUAACUGUUUCAUUAAUAUUUAUAUUAAAAUUUUAUUUUUUAGUUAAAAAGCUAAAAUUUAUUUAAAAGACGAGAAGACCCUAUAAAUCUUUAUAUUUAAUUUAUUAAAAUUUUUUAGAAAAAUUUUGUUAUUAAUAAUUAAAAUAUUUUAUUGGGGUGAUAUUAAAAUUUAAUAAACUUUUUUUUAUAUUUUAUCAUUAAUUUAUGAUUAAUUGAUCCAUUAUUAGUGAUUAAAAGAAUAAGUUACUUUAGGGAUAACAGCGUAAUUUUUUUGGAGAGUUCUUAUUAAUAAAAAAGAUUGCGACCUCGAUGUUGGAUUAAAAUAAU